GGAUUGUGGCUCAGCGGUAGAGCACUAGCCUAGCAUGUGUAGGGCCCUGGGUUUGAUUCUCAGCACCA
rnacentral:tRNA from 1 species